ensembl:snRNA
AACUUCCCUCAAAGAGGGAAAAAACUCAGUGAACGUCUAGUGAGAGCAUCUCUGCUGACGCCAUGACAACACAUGUGCAUCACCUAGGCAGCAAUGCCUGAGCUAUGGUGCAAUUUUUGGAACC